rnacentral:misc_RNA from 1 species
GAGAUGAGAGGAUCAUUAUUGUUGAAUAUGUUGCCAAUGGAAAUCUUCGGGAACAUCUCGAUGGCAAGCGAGGAGUCGACCUUGAGAUUGGAGAGCGUCUGGACAUUGCCAUUGAUGUUGCUCAUGCUAUCACCUACCUUCACAUGUACAAUGAUGCACCAAUAAUCCAUAGAGACAUAAAGGCUUCAAACAUUCUAAUCACAGAGAAAUUACGGGCGAAAGUGGCAGAUUUUGGGUUUGCACGCCUUGUUCCAGAAGAUUCUAACAUUACACAUAUCUCAACCCAAGUUAAAGGAACAGCUGGGUACUUGGAU